rnacentral:tRNA from 1 species
UCCCAGAUAGCUCAGUGAGUAAAGAAUCUGUCUGCAAUGCAGAAGACACAAGAGACUCAGGUUCAGUCCCUGAGCUGGGAA